UCUCCGUUGGUGAACCAGCGGAGGGAUCAUUACUGGACUCGCAAGAUCCCACAACCCCUGUGAACCUACCGAAACGUUGCCUCGGCGGGCGCCCGGCCCCGCGCCGGGCGCUGAGCCCGCCGGCGGCCCCCUACGCUUGUCUCUGCAGCGUGGCCUCUCAAAGUCCCAGAAAACAAGUGAAAACUUUCAACAACGGAUCUCUUGGCUCUA
rnacentral:misc_RNA from 1 species